CUCGUAAGGAACUAUGAAGUUCAAAGGAAUUAUAACCAAUAUUUUUUAAUGAAUAUUUCAAAGUAACUACUAUAACAGCGACUUAAUUUCCGGGCGACGUGUUAAAUGUGGGAACAGAUAUAUUACUGUGUUUUUGAAGCAAUCUUCUAGGUAAAAAGAAGGUGUGAGAAUUCCAUUAAAAUUUUGAAGCUCGAAAGAAACGCCGCUGCUGUUAAUUGGAUUUCAAGUUUGAUUUUGUCUUGUUGACAAUGGGCUGGAAACUCAUUUUUGAUGCGAGCUUCAUGCUGUAUAUUUGUGCUCACCCAGUUUAGAGGUUUGACACAGCCACUGACUACAGUUUUGGUGCUCUUGGAUUUAAGGUAAUUAUUUUGAAAGCUUUUAUGAGGGGUAGAAGGAAUGAAUGAAUGAAUGACUUUAUUUAAAGAGGGUAAAAACACAUGACAGCAAUAUAACUGAAAAACUUGUGGCCCUAAGUAUUUUUACCGAAUGUUUAACCUCGUGUUAGUAUUGUUACUUCGUCGUAUGUGAGAGGAUUUCUUCCACUCUCCAAAGCCGUGAUGUGAUAGCUGCAUGAUUUCUUUAUUCAGCUUUACCUUGUACAGUCUAGGUUCUCGGCACUAAAUUUAGUUUGUCCUCGUUUUAUGAAGGCCACAGGGGAAGGGGGGCCGAACAUUUACUGUUCGAACUAUUAAAGACUGGAACAGUUUGAUUACAGAGCUCAAAGAAACUAAAAAUAUUAACUAUUUUAAACAAAAACUUUUCUAAGACUAUCAAAGAACAUUUUUACUAUUUAGAUAGAGUACUUAUAUUAAUUUGUGAUAUAUACGUAAGGUUAGAGAUAGGCAUUUAUUUUGUAACAUAGUCACAUAUGGGCCACAGGGUCAUCAGUAUAACUUUAUUGUCAUGUGUUUUACCCUCGUUUAAUAAAGUAGUAAACUAAAAU